AUAUGCACACCCAUACUUAUAUGUAACUCUUUCAGGGGCAUUGCUUUCAAUUCAUACAUGGCCUAAUGUGCAACCACCUUCCAAUACCAAUCCCACUGUAUCUCCCAUGGAGAAACAACAGGCAAAGCAUGUCUGUCACAGUUCACAAGGGAGUCAGGCCUACUGGGUGGUGCCAGAAGUAAGGACUGGUGGGGUUGCACAGGUGAGCCAUGGGUUGGGAGUAACCAAGGUCAACCUGAGCUCUAAACAGAGUUGCGGGGACCAAAGCUUGGAGUCCAAAACUGAACCAAAGGACAAACUGGAGAUCAGAGGUUAGGAAGCAGGCUAAGGUCAAACCAAAGUCCAAAACACCAAGCCAAAGGGUUAACCAAGAAUCAGACACCAGGAAGCAAGCCAAGAUCAAACUGAAUUCCAAACAUGGAGCUAGAGGGUUAACCAGGAAUCAAGGGGGUCAGAGGAAGAGUUACCAGCACUGGAGACACACAAGGAUUGGAAACCAAGUGGAUGCAGACAACCAUACAGAUAUCUCUGAUACAUUUCUUAAAGAAGCUUCUGACCUGGAGUGAACUCUCACUGAAUGAGGUUGCAAAGAAACUUGGUGAUGCCUGGCAGUGGACACAGAGGUUCAACAUAGCUCAGAAUCCAUCAGGAAGCAGAGAAGCCUUUGCUGAGGUCGUGUCUUGGUAGGGUGUAAAAACUAUCUUUUUACAAUUUACUAAUAGGCCUAAGGGAUGAAACCUCAGAAGAUGUUCCUGAGAUUUUCAUGCAUGCACUGCAUUGAAUGACCUUGCAUCAGCUCCUUGCCCAAACACAGAAACCCUCAGAGACCCAAUCUUUUGAGGUAAGGAACUAUAAUUGACAGGUACCUUAUGAACACACAGCUGUUGCAAAUCCAAAGGGAAGGAAGUGAUAUUGAUAAUGACAACUGCUUAUUAUGAAGCACAGGAGGAAUAUGUGGGCAGGAUGAAUGGCAAUAUGAAAAUAGGCAUCCUAAAGGUUGAAAGCAGCAGGCCACCCCUUUGGAUAUAGGGAUGGAACGAUUAGUGGUAGAGACACUAUUCUGAACUUGGUGGUUCUGAAGUAAGCCUUCAAUUUUUUGCAAUGAAUACUUCCCUUUUUCUUUGGGAUAAAGAACUAUCUGAAAUAAAACCCUCUCACCUUUGAUAAUAUGAUACCUUUUCUAUCACACCAAGAUUUAUGAAAGAUUUUGCUUUUAGUUUUAAUGUCCUCCAGUGAAAGGGGUCCCUCAGUGAGGAUGGGGAAAGGGAAUUAGGAGGUAAAGAGCGGAAUUGUAUCUUGUGUAUCAACUGUAGUGGCCUGUCAGAGGGUCCCCCAGUCACUUACUCAUCUGAAUUAGGGUGGAUCAGGCAUGCUGGAAAAUGAGCUAACCCAUGGCCAAAGGAAGGGAAAAUAAUAGGGAUAUCUGAAGCUAAAAGGGAGGCUGCUCUGUCAGAGGGGGAAGGAGGUAGCUGGGAAGCAGUGGAAGUUGUUGUAGAAUUUCUCCUUUUGGAAGGCUUUCAUCUUUUAUUCAAAGGCUUUAGUGGCCUAUGCUGGUGAUAUGAAGGCUGUCUGUGGUAUCCUUGAGAUCUAACAUGUUUUCACUCUGGGCCGCGACAAAGACCCCUAAAGAUCUAAGACUUGUUUUUCAGUCCAUAAAAGAUCUUAAAAUAUUAUCCGUUUUGUCACAAAACAGGUCACAGCCUUUGAACAGUAAAUCCCCUCUUGUUUGCAGUUUGUUGCGAAUACUAGAUAUAGCCAAGAGGAGCAAUGUGUAGUAACAGGGCGUGGCCAUCACCAGAUGUUUAUAGAGAAGUUUUGGAAAGCAGUUGACCUUCAGCUAAAAUAGAUUUAAACUAAUCCCUGAACUCUGUUGGUAUCAUCUCAAAAUAAUGUAUGGCUGGUUUAUAUGGUCAUCUUUUGCUAGCAGCACUAGUGAAUAGCAGCAUUUGAAACCCGGAGAUUUCUGAUCUAACAGGAAGUCAGUACUGAAACAAAACUGUUUACAGAAUUAUAAACAAAGAUAAAAUGAAAUGGUCCUAGCCUAAACAACCUGGGCCCCAUAUACCUAAGGAACCAGUUUCUCUGUAAGGUCCCCAAGAUCAGCUGGGAGCAUUCUCUUAUUAGUAGCAUCAGUAAACCAAGCUCACUUGGCAAAAACACAUGGGAGGUCAUUCUUAGUAGUUGCUCUUCAGCUCUGGAACACCCUCCCCCUUUGAGGCCCACCAGAGCCUGAUCCUGGACAUCUUCCAAAAAUGCUGUAAGUCCUUCCUCUUUGGACAGGCACUUGGCAAAGCCAGGCUCAGCCGCAAUACUGUUGAAGCAGCUUUUGUUUCAUAUUCUAGUCUAUUCGCUUUUAUUCUGCUUCUUACCGUAAACCGCCCUGAGUUAUACAUAAAGUGA